rnacentral:rRNA from 1 species
CCUACGGGAGGCAGCAGUGAGGAAUAUUGGUCAAUGGACGCAAGUCUGAACCAGCCAUGCCGCGUGCAGGAAGACGGCUCUAUGAGUUGUAAACUGCUUUUGUACGAGGGUAAACGCAGAUACGCGUAUCUGUCUGCCAGUAUCGUACGAAUAAGGAUCGGCUAACUCCGUGCCAGCAGCCGCGGUAAUACGGAGGAUUCAAGCGUUGUCCGGAUUUAUUGGGUUUAAAGGGUGCGUAGGCGGUAGGAUAAGUUAGAGGUGAAAGCCCGAGGCUCAACUUCGGAAGUGCCUCUGAUACUGGUCGGCUAGAGAGUAGUAGAGGUAGGCGGAAUGUAUGGUGUAGCGGUGAAAUGCUUAGAGAUCAGACAGAACACCGAUGGCGAAGGCAGCUUACCAAUCUGCAUCUGACGUUGAGGCACGAAAGCGUGGGGAGCAAACAGGAUUAGAUACCCGAGUAGUC